GCGUCGCAACACUAAAGGUCACGCGAUCAGCAAGGUAGAACCACGAUUGAUCGAUCAAAAACGGGAGAACGUGUCCGCGCCUUGAUCGAGUGGGGCCAUGCCUCUCUUACGAUGGAUCGCGAACGGCAAGCUAAACCAACGAAUGGUAGGAGGACCACGACAAUAAACAGAUGAGGACGGACGAAUGUUCCCCAAAGCACGUGCGUCGGGGUCGAGCUUUGACGGUAGGACCAUUGGGCUAUCCGACGGGUGGCCAUAUGACGGGUGGAGCGACGACUAUCCUUCCCAUGACCAAGACAUGUUACCUCGUACGCUUAAACACCUACUACCGACCAGGCUCCGUAGACAGCGAGCAAAGAAGAGGUGCUCGAUAACGCGUAGUUCAAGAAGACUGAUAAUUACUUCGCAAUUAGUAAGAUGUCCUCAGUUAAUGAAAGAUGUUCACAUUAGGCAAGCUAGUUAAGCGUAAAAUUCUCGUAAUCAGAAAAAAUCGCUUACUUAUAUGUCCUCACCUGCUCGGGCAGUAAGGUUAAAAUAUCCGUCUUUAACUCACUGUACAUGGUCGUUUAUUUCCGGUUG
rnacentral:rRNA from 1 species